GACGAACGCUGGCGGCGUGCUUAACACAUGCAAGUCGAACGGAAAGGCCUCGUUUGGGGGGUCCUCGAGUGGCGAACGGGUGAGUAACACGUGAGUAACCUGCCCUUCACCUUGGGAUAACUUCAGGAAACUGGGGCUAAUACCGGACAGGAGCUCCUUCUGCAUGGUGGGGGCUGGAGAGUUUCGGCGGUUGGGGUUGGACUUGCGGCUUAUCAGCUGGCGGUUGGUGGAGUGGCUUACCAAGGCUUUGGCGAGGAGCCGGCGUGGGAGGGUGACCGGCCACAGUGGGACUGGGACUCGGCCAAGACUCCGACGGGAGGGAGAGGUAGGAGUGGGUGAUAAAGGGGUAGGAGCCUGAUGCAGCAACAGCGAUGGCGGGAUGACGGCCAAGGGGUUGGAAUCCGAAUUCGCUCAUGACGAAGCUUUGUGUGACGGUAGUGGGUAAAGAAGCACCGGCUAACUACGUG
rnacentral:rRNA from 1 species